GUAUACAUCCAACCAACUAGUUAACCAGUUGGGCCUCAGUUCAGCAACUGAUAGGCGCAGCUGUAGCCGCUGAUGAAGGGAGGAGUGAGUUGUGAUAGAAGCCAGAUUCUCCUUCCUGGAGGAGGCGCAAGAAAUGCCAUCAGCUCCUUCGGACACUGCCGGCACUGUUUACCUAACUCCCACAACUCAGCAGGGGUAUAAG
rnacentral:lncRNA from 10 species